rnacentral:misc_RNA from 1 species
GCUUCCUGCCAUUCCUCACCUUCUUCUUCUUGUUUGCAAAUGGGAAGGAGGACCCAGCAGCUUGGAUUGUGCAGCGACGACGAGCAGACUCAGUUAUCGACAUCUUCUUCAUCAAAGGUUUGAUGGGUUUUUGUUAAAUCUUAAUCAUGAUCAUCGUCCUUUUGUUUCUUUCUUCAAUAAUUGAAUUGGGUGCUGUAUGUGACUGACACAUAUGUAAGAUCUCGAAAGGAUUUGAUCGAUG